GUCAGUUAAUUUUGAUUUGACAGCGGACGAUUCUUUUCAUGCCAAGUGUUUAGUGAGCACGCACGUGUUGGACUAAAAUAUCUAAAAAUCCUCAAAAAAAAUGGAUAAACCCGUUGUUUUAGCUCGCGUAAUGAAGGUUUUGGGACGUACGGGAUCCCAGGGACAAUGUACACAAGUGAAAGUAGAGUUCAUUGGAGAACAAAACCGUCAAAUCAUCAGGAACGUUAAAGGACCUGUGAGGGAAGGUGAUAUCCUCACCCUUUUGGAAUCUGAACGUGAAGCUAGAAGAUUAAGAUAAAUAUUUAGGAUACGUUUUUAAUAAUUUAAGAAAUUCCGUUUAUAAGUGGAACUUGGACAACAUGAAGUGAUUAAAGCUGUUAUUUCCAGUUAAACAAAUACACUUUUUACGGUUAAUAA